rnacentral:rRNA from 1 species
UACGUAGGGGGCAAGCGUUGUCCGGAUUUAUUGGGCGUAAAGAGCGUGUAGGCGGCUAGGUAGGUCCGUUGUGAAAACUCGAGGCUCAACCUCGAGACGCCGGUGUGAAACCAUGUGGCUAGAGUCCGGAAGAGGAGAGUGGAAUUCCUGGUGUAGCGGUGAAAUGCGCAGAUAUCAGGAGGAACACCAAUGGCGAAGGCGGGUCUCUGGACAGUUCCUGACGCUGAGGCACGAAGGUCAGGGGAGCAAACGGG